CCAUGGUGGUCCUGGGGCCGCUUCUCCCACAACCUUGGGCUGCCCGAGAUAUUUCGGAUGGCACGGAGAGUCCCAGCCCCGGUUACAUUUUUCCCCAGUAUCUCUCCGCGGUAUCUCAGCUCUCCGGGUGAUCCCUGUCACGACUGACAUCCUCUGCCAGAGCAGCCCCUGCUGUUCCCGCACCGCCGGUAACGCCGCGGCCACGCUGGGCAGACACCGCGACAGAGGCGGAGCCGGUCCCGGGGUGCGGGGGUUCGGGGCACCGAAGGGGCUGCUGUCAGCCUGAUGUUGCACGGGACGGAAAACCGCGCACCCGCGACAGAGACCCCGUGUCGGUGACCCCUGCCCUGUCUCCGUGGCUGUGUCCCCUGCUCUGUUCCCGUGUCCAGCUCACACGGGGACACGAAGCGUGAGCAGAGGCUCCGUGAGGACAGAGCUGCCGGGCAGGGCCCCGCCGCGGCAGAAGCAGCGACCGAGCAGCCCGGCCCCGGGAGCACCCAGGAAUGUGGCACGGCCCAGGGCGGGCACCCAGCGGGAGCGGCACAGGGACGGCGCAGUGUCACCUGCCCAGAGCAGGGUGCGCGGCAGGAGGGGCACUGGGCCGGCCGAGGGACAGAAUGAGUCCCCCUGGCUGUGGCACAACCCAGCUGGCCCUGCUUGGAGCCCGCUGGCCUGCGGGGACUGAUGUUCCCUGGGGAUGACACAAGUCCCCUGCCCUGUGGAAAGCAGGGACACCCUGUCAUAGUUGAGCCAGCGCUCCCCAUUCUCCCCUUCUCAUGGUUCCGUGUGCUCCCAGGAUGGGUCAAUCUUCCUGCAUGUCACCUCCAUCCUGUACACAGGGACAUACUGACAGGAGACAGUCCUCACACAGCCGGCUGCUGGCACACGCAUAGUGCUGCCCAGCCAGCACGGCCUGUGGAUGGACACACAGCAUGAGCUAUGCUCACACCCCCGCACACACGCACAUGGGGAGCGUGGGCUGCACACGCACACACGUGUGCACGUCUGGCUGGCACGUGCGCACACACACGCACGGGCAGGUGUGGGCAGCCCGUCCAGCCCAGCUGUCCUGCCACUCCCCGCACCUGGGCUUCCGGAAGGGAACCAGCUGGGAAAGCCCCGACAGCUCCGGAGCCUCCAGCCUUGCAACACCCACACGGGCAGAGCCGCCCACAGCUCCAUGGGGCACUGGCACGGUGCAACCCAGGACAGGGAACAGCUCCCAGGACAUUCCCCACCACCAGCGCAGCCUGCAGAAUGCUUGCAGGCACCCCCCACCCAGGACAGUGCUGGGGGUGGCUUCGGGCCCCCUGGGAGAGCCAGGGUCUGAGCGAUUGCCAUGGGGCUCUGGGCAUGGGCAGAGCAGGGGUGGAAGCACAGCCAGACCCUGGGAAUGGCUGUGUCCCUCCAGGCAAUGGUGCUGGUGCAGAUCUGCGCCUGGAGCUCCUGGCAGUGAGUGGCUGCAGGAGCCAGGGUGGCUGGUCCUGCCAGCCCCAUGGAAGGAAAUGGGAGGUGAGAGGCAGCUCUGGCACAACGUGACAGGGACCAGGCAUCUGCCCCAGCUCUGGUGAGGACAUAGGACUCAAUGCAAUGGCUCCACAGCUCUGGCCCGUGGGCAGAGCCCUUUUCCCCACGCGGCCUCCAGGUCUUUGUCCCCUGCACCAGGGCCCUGUGUCCCUCAGCCAGCCCUGCACCCCAGUGACACCCCAAGGUGUGGGGUCAGGUGGACACCAGCUGGCCGAGAGGUAUGGGGCUGAGAGCUUGGUGGCAACAAGGGGCUGUGGACCGUGUCAGGUCACAGGACGUCCCUCAGGAGCCAGCAGUUGUUCCUGGAGGCAGAACAAUGCCCGGAGAGCUGCCAGGGCACCACGGGCUGCUCCACUGAACCCGGCCUGGAGCCACCUCCGCUGCCUAAGCAGGGCCAGCCCCACGCUGGGGUCCCCCAGCCCCUUGCUGACACCUGGCCUGUACCUGUCCCCCACAGCAGGAAGCUGCACUGGCUGCUCUUGGCUUGUGGCACAGCAUGGCACAGAGUGACACAGCAUGGCACAGCUCUUCUGGGGCUGCAUGAAGCCCAGCGCCAAGCAGCAUCACCUUCAUGUCUUCCUGCCAGCUUGUCCAGUGGCAGCAGCCCAUGCCAGGGAGGGGGUGGGAGGGUUCACGCUCGGACGGAGCGUGCUGGGCAUUGGGGCACAGAGAGGGUCAGUGGGAGGAUUUAAACCCCUGCUCAUGCGCGGGCCAGCCCUGGGAGGAUUUAAACCCCUGCUCAUGCGCGGGCCAGCAGCCCCCGCACUGCCUGCCCUGCGCCAUGAGGCUGCUGGCACUGCUGCUGCUCCUGGGGCUCUGCUGCCUCUGGGCACGGCUGGUGUCUGCAGGAUUCACUUAGCCUCCGCCUGGACCUGGACCAAGGAGCCCAUAUGUGCAGCCACCCCGCACCACCCUGCACCACACAGUUGGACAGCCAGACAGUCAGACAGCUGGACAUGGAGGGAACCGUCAGCUGCUGGAUGAGGAUCCAUCCCCCUGAUCCCACCUCCCUCCUCUCGACCUCAGCUCAGUGCUGAGCACAGGUGUCUUUGUGCUCCCUCAUCCCCAGUAAAACGAGUUUGUGAUGAA